GAGGGUAUAGCUCAGUGGUAGAGCACGUGCAUGUAGAGGUCCUGGGUUCAAUCCCCAGUCCCUCCG
rnacentral:tRNA from 1 species